AGCAGUUGGUCAAGGGCCUACCCUGGAUGUUCUUCUCUGAUCUUGCGGAAAGCUAGCCGGCCAUGGAGCGGCUCGGCGACGACGAGUUGGCGCUGGUGCUGCGGGGCCUAGACCACCGGCGCGACCGUAAGUCCUGUGCCAGAGUCUGCCGGCAAUGGCGUCGGAUCGAAGCUCUCACCCGCACUUCCCUCCGCGUCAUCGACCCCUUCUCCCUCCCGCAAUUCCUCCCCCGCUUCCCUAACCUUACCGCCCUCCGGACCGACACCCCCAUCUCCGAUGCCCAUCUCCACCUCAUCGCACGCUCCUGCCCCGAUCUCCGAUCCCUAAUCUUCAACGUCCGCCGUAGCCUGACCGACCUCCCAGAGAAUCCCCAAUCGGACGAUCUCACUGACACCGGCCUGGGCGCCCUAGCCCUAGGCUGCCAGAAGCUGCAACACAUCGCUUUUAGGAAUCGGCGCGGAGUCGGAGACUCCGGAGUCGUGGAUCUGGUGAAGCGCGCCAGCGAUUUAUCCGACAUCGAUCUGGCUUGGUGCAGCAAGGUCUCGGACAGAGCGGUGGCCGAAAUCGGAAACUUGACCUCCUUGUUCGUCCUCUGCCUCCGCGGCUGCUUCUUGGUCACCGACAUCGGAUUGACUCAUCUGGCCAAUCGGCCGUCAUCGAGGACCCUGACAGCGUUGGACCUCUCCGAAUGCGAUCGGAUCACUGACGCAGGUGUUUGCGAGUUAAAGAUGCUGCCUUGUCUGGAAAAACUGAGCCUCGCAGACUGCGGCCCGAAGGUUACAGACGUCGGAGGCUCCGCCAUUGCAUCAAUCGACGCCCUGCGGAGUCUGGACUUGUCCUGGCUGAUCAACCUGUCGGAUGCCACGCUCUUGGAGCUAUCUCGAAAAUGCAAGAAGUUGGAGGAGCUCAACGUGACGGGCUGCGAGUUGAUUACUGGUGCGGGAGUUCUUGCCUUCUCGAACCACGCUUCCAUGAAGAACCUUGUCCUGGCUUCUUGCUACGGCGUGUCGAUGGAAGAUGUGGUGCAGACGGUGAGGGCGAGUCCGUUGCUGAGGUACGUAGGGUUGGACAAAUCGCUGAGGGGUUGGAUGUCGACCACCGUGCAGGAGAACAUUGAUCCUAGCUGCGAAAUAUACUGGCUGUAAGACAUCUCUGCGAAGUUCAGCAAAAUUUUGAUCCUGCAGGUUAGUGACCUCCUCGAUUAAUGCUGAGAAAGGGUAGGAAGGGAUGCCCAUCUCAUUGGUCAUCUUAUUUGAUGGUGAUUUGACCACUACGGGGACCAAAAAGACAGGAACGACAAAAGAAUCGACGAUCAGUACUGCCAUUGUACCUCCCAAAUGCUACUGUGGCUUGUGUGCAUCUGAAACUUGUGGUGUCCAACUAGGACGAUCUAGAAGAGCUUGAAGAUUAAUUCGAGUUUCUAAUACUCAAAAUCAUGAGCUUAGUUUAU